rnacentral:ncRNA from 1 species
GGAUAAACCCAGGUGCAAACCUGGACAAUGGUCGGGAGGAACUGGCGUUCCCGGCCCCUGGGAAACCAGACUCAUCAUCCAAUGGAGAAUCUGAUUUCACAGGCCACAUAUCACCGGCUUCCUCGGAGAGGGUCGUUCCUUUCCGUGUCCAACGACCAGGAAGUCAGGCGGUGAGCGGUCCCGUCCCGCGAUGCAAAUCAAAGUGGCGCGAAACGGGAAAACCAGCCGCAAGCCGAGUUACGCCUCAGCCGGUCCGUUGUUUCGGGCCUUGAGGCGGACACAGUCAGUCGACCUACGACUGUCAGUUGCUACUGUGAGCCAGUGUGGUGAUCCACUACCCGGCGGUUUUGAACGAACAAAACGCCGUCGUAUCCGUUCGGUGUCGCAACCGGGCUGAGAAAAGGGGGGAAUGGAACACCGCGGAUUGAGCGGUCCGUUGUGAAUGCGUCGGGAGGCCGGCGGGAAGCAAGGGCGCGCGAUAAGAUCCGAUCGCUGGGAGGCUCUCCCCAAAAGGAGUGGAGUCGUCCAGGCGAGAAGGGAAAGGCAACUUGAGGGGUAAGAGACAAGACCCGUGGCGUGAGGCCAACGAUCCGUGACUUCCAGCUGUUUACAGCCUGUUGCAGAUGCCGACCUCGCGGAAGUGGGGAGGGAUGCACUCAUUCUCAAAAGCAUCCUGAACCGGGUCCGGUGGACGCACGCUUGCAAGGUGUGCAAAGGCCGGGCUGAGAAGUCUCACCCGACAAGCUGGUGGUGGUGACACCGCCGGCCGGUUCCGCUGCGGAACCGAAACGGAAUGCAAUCGUUCAUGCAGACCAGUGCAGCGUCGGGAAACUGACAGCCAGCGACACUCGACGGGUGAAGCUGGGCGCCAAAUGCCAGUGUUCGGGGAAAGAGAGCGUGGCGAGCUCC